rnacentral:rRNA from 1 species
CCCGCUGAACUUAAGCAUAUCAAUAAGCGGAGGAAAAGAAACUAACAAGGAUUCCCCUAGUAACUGCGAGUGAAGCGGGAAAAGCUCAAAUUUAAAAUCUGGCGGUUUCACCGUCCGAGUUGUAAUUUAGAGAAGUGUUAUCCGCGCUGGACCGUGUACAAGUCUCCUGGAAUGGAGCGUCAUAGAGGGUGAGAAUCCCGUCUUUGACACGGACUACCAGGGCAUUGUGAUACGCUCUCAAAGAGUCGAGUUGUUUGGGAUUGCAGCUCAAAAUGGGUGGUAAAUUCCAUCUAAAGCUAAAUAUUGGGGAGAGACCGAUAGCGAACAAGUACCGUGAGGGAAAGAUGAAAAGAACUUUGGAAAGAGAGUUAAACAGUACGUGAAAUUGCUGAAAGGGAAACGCUUGAAGUCAGUCGCGUCGUUCAGGAUUCAGCUUUAGCAUCUGCUUUGUGCAUUUCCUGUUUGACGGGUCAGCAUCAGUUUUGGCCGGUGGAUAAAGGUUGAGGGAACGUGACAUCUUUCGAGGUGUGUUAUAGCCCUCGAUUCGCAUACGGCGAUUGGGAUUGAGGAACUCAGCGCGCCUUUAUGGUCGGGGUAGCAACCCACGUAACGCGCUCAGGAUGCUGGCAUAAUGGCUUUAAGCGACCCGUCUUGAAACAC